rnacentral:misc_RNA from 1 species
CACCAAUCACGCCUGGCGUGGUAUUGGGACUCGCGGUAACCCGCGUUCCCCAAAUCGAUUGGCGGUCACGUCGAGCUUCCAUAGCGUAGUAAUCAUACACCUCGUUACUGGUAAUCGUCGCGGCCACGCCGUUAAACCCCAACUUCUGAA